AAGACUGUACUUUCAGGGAUCAUUUCUAUAGUUCAUGACUUGAGAAAUGUGUUUCUAAAGUGUCUGGUCUCACUACCCAUGAUGAUGACUCAUGAUACUCCUUUCUGAGCGUGAAGCAGGCAGAGAGAAAUGAUUCAGUUCAUAUGUUCUCUGUCAUUGAGAAUCGUUCUUGGUUCUUUUAAGAACUUUGAGGAAAGGAGUAUGAUCAGAGUGGUA
ensembl:snoRNA small nucleolar RNA U3